rnacentral:rRNA from 1 species
UACGUAGGGUGCAAGCGUUGUCCGGAAUUAUUGGGCGUAAAGAGCUCGUAGGCGGCUUGUCGCGUCGACUGUGAAAUCCCGCGGCUCAACCGCGGGUCUGCAGUCGAUACGGGCAGGCUAGAGUUCGGUGAGGGGAGACUGGAAUUCCUGGUGUAGCGGUGAAAUGCGCAGAUAUCAGGAGGAACACCGGUGGCGAAGGCAGCGACCGUGGGCCUGUCCUGACGCUGAGGCGCGAAAGCGUGGGGAGCGAACGGA